rnacentral:rRNA from 1 species
CGUGUAGGCGGCCUGCCAAGUCGGGUGUGAAAGCCCUCGGCUCAACCGAGGAAUUGCACCCGAUACUGGCGGGCUAGAGUCCGGGAGGGGGUAGCGGAACUCCCAGUGUAGCGGUGAAAUGCGUAGAUAUUGGGAAGAACACCAGUGGCGAAGGCGGCUACCUGGACCGGAACUGACGCUGAGGCGCGAAAGCUAGGGGAGCGAAUG